rnacentral:rRNA from 1 species
GAUGAACGCUGGCGGCGUGCCUAAUACAUGCAAGUCGAGCGAACGGACGAGAAGCUUGCUUCUCUGAUGUUAGCGGCGGACGGGUGAGUAACACGUGGAUAACCUACCUAUAAGACUGGGAUAACUUCGGGAAACCGGAGCUAAUACCGGAUGAUAUUUUGAACCGCAUGGUUCAAAAGUGAAAGACGGUCUUGCUGUCACUUAUAGAUGGAUCCGCGCUGCAUUAGCUAGUUGGUAAGGUGACGGCUUACCAAGGCAACGAUGCAUAGCCGACCUGAGAGGGUGAUCGGCCACACUGGAACUGAGACACGGUCCAGACUCCUACGGGAGGCAGCAGUAGGGAAUCUUCCGCAAUGGGCUAAAGCCUGACGGAGCAACGCCGCGUGAGUGAUGAAGGUCUUCGGAUCGUAAAACUCUGUUAUUAGGGAAGAACAUAUGUGUAAGUAACUGUGCACAUCUUGACGGUACCUAAUCAGAAAGCCACGGCUAACUACGUG